GCCUGGAUAGCUCAGUUGGCUAAAGCGUGGUGCUGAUAAUGCCAAGGUUGCAGGUUUGAUCCCCAUAUGGGGCA
rnacentral:tRNA from 1 species